GACAGAGGUGGCGAGCGUUGUCCGGAAUUACUGGGCGUAAAGAGCUCGUAGGCGGCCUGUUAAGUCGGAUGUGAAAGCCCCCGGCUCAACUGGGGAAUUGCAUCCGAUACUGGCAGGCUAGAGUCUGGUAGAGGGAGGUGGAAUUCCCGGUGUAGCGGUGAAAUGCGCAGAUAUCGGGAGGAACACCGGUGGCGAAGGCGGCCUCCUGGGCCAUGACUGACGCUGAGGAGCGAAAGCUGGGGGAGCGAACAGG
rnacentral:rRNA from 1 species